CGGGAAACCCUUCUCAACUGGUACGAAGCCGGUAAAUAGAUGGCCAUAAAACAGUGACCGCUGAUUCGCGUCGAGUUCUUUCUUGCAUAACGUAGAGAAAUGUCUGGGACUUAGCCGAGGGCAACUGGAGAAGGGUUGUUGAUGGCAAAACAGGUUGGAGACUACAUGAGACUUUGACAGAUGGCGGGAAACCCUUCUCAACUGGUACGAAGCCGGUAAAUAGAUGGCCAUAAAACAGUGACCGCUGAUUCGCGUCGAGUUCUUUCUUGCAUAAUGUAUGACCCCCC